AGGAAAUUCCCACUUUCCCGCCCACACCUCGAUCAGACAAUCCCAUUAAUAAUCCCUCAUCUUCCACCUUCAAACCCUCAUUUCCACUCUCCAUUUCUUCCGGAGCCACUCUCAUCCUGCUGCACAAAUCAAGGUUUUCAGUGAGAGAUGGUGCCGAAAAAUGAAGCGACUGAAGAGCCGUUGGCCGAUUCUCCGACUUCUGUGCUUGAAGAUGAGGACAUCUGCAAGGAGAAAGUCGCUGUGAAAGUGGACGAAGAAACAUUUCUCGAGGCUAAAAAUGGCGACUCUCUUCUCAUAUCAGAUGAAAUGGCGGAGGAGGAAAAGAAACUUGAACAACAAAGGCAGCUAGAAGAAGAAAAUGAGAAAAAAGAAGAAGCCACAUUGAGCGACACACAAUUCACUAAACUCGAUGAGCUUCUUACUCAGACUCAGCUUUACUCCGAGUUCUUAUUGGAAAAAAUGGAUGACAUCACCAACAACGGGCUGGCUGAAGAUGUUGAAGAAGUAAAGGAGGAGCCGAAGAAAGGUCGUGGCAGAAAAAGAAAGUCUGCAUCAGAAUACAAUACAAGGAGGGCCAAGAAAGCUGUAGCGGCGAUGCUUACGCGCGAUGUUGAAAGCACGCCCACUAAACACACUAAUCUUAGUAAGGAAGAGAAAGCCGAAAAAGAGCAGAAUGAACUUGUUCCUUUACUAACUGGUGGAAAGUUGAAACCGUAUCAAAUCAAAGGUGUGAAAUGGAUGAUUUCACUUUGGCAAAAUGGGCUUAAUGGUAUUCUAGCUGAUCAAAUGGGCCUCGGCAAGACAAUACAAACUAUCGGUUUUCUUGCACAUUUAAAAGGAAAGGGGAUGGACGGGCCAUACUUGGUUAUCGCGCCUCUGUCUACACUGUCAAACUGGUUAAAUGAGAUAUCUAGGUUUGUGCCCUCGGUGAAUGCUGUUAUCUAUCACGGUGAUAGGAAGACACGGGACGAAAUAAGGAGUAAGAAAAUGCCAAAAACCGUAGGAGCGAGUUUCCCUAUAGUAAUUACCUCAUAUGAAGUAGCCAUGAAUGAUGCUAAGAAAUACUUGAGGCAUUACAACUGGAAGUAUCUUGUGGUUGAUGAGGGUCACAGAUUGAAAAACUCUAAAUGCAAGCUACUGAGAGAACUAAAAUGGAUGCAUGUUGAAAACAAGCUUUUGUUGACCGGCACACCUCUGCAAAACAAUUUAGCCGAACUCUGGUCGUUGCUCAACUUCAUCUUGCCUGAUAUUUUCUCAUCCCACGAAGAGUUCGAGUCAUGGUUUGAUUUUUCUGGAAAAUCCAACACCGAGGAAGCUGAAGAAGGGAGAAAAGCAAAAGUGGUAGCAAAAUUGCAUGCUAUAUUGCGUCCGUUUUUGCUCAGGAGAAUGAAAGAGGAUGUUGAGCUUUCGCUUCCCCGCAAGAAAGAGAUUAUACUUUAUGCUCAUCUUACCGAGCAUCAAAAGAAUUUUCAGGACCAUUUAGUCAACAAGACACUCGAAGCGUAUCUGCGAGAGAAAGUGGACACUGGACGCGGUGUGAAAGGAACGCUUCAAAAUGUCAUGAUUCAGCUCCGGAAAAAUUGCAACCAUCCUGACCUUUUAGAGGCAGCUUUUGAGGGUUCAUGUUUUUAUCCGCCUGUAGAAGAGAUAGUCGGGCAGUGUGGAAAAUUUCAGUUGUUGGAAAGAUUGCUGCAAAAGCUGCUUCCUCGAAAACACAAGGUUUUAAUCUUCUCUCAGUGGACUAAGGUUCUUGAUAUAAUGCAUUACUACUUCAGUGAGAAAGGUAUGCCGGUAUGCAGAAUUGACGGCAGCGUGAAACUGGAGGAUAGAAGACAACAAAUCCAGGACUUUAACGAUGUGGACAGCGAGUAUAGAAUCUUUCUUCUGAGCACUCGGGCUGGUGGGCUGGGAAUCAAUCUCACUGCAGCGGAUACUUGCAUAUUAUAUGACAGUGACUGGGUAAACUAUUCGGAACCCUCAAAUGGAUUUACAGGCAAUGGAUAGAUGUCACAGAAUUGGCCAAACGAAGCCCGUUCAUGUGUACAGGCUUGCAACUGCUCUAUCUUUUGAAGGUCGGAUGCUGAAACGAGCAUUCAGUAAGCUAAGGCUUGAGCAUGUGGUGAUCGGUAAAGGUCAAUUUCAGCAGGAAAGAGUUAAAAACAAUGAAGUUUUGGAUGAAGAGGAUAUGUUGGCGCUUCUGAGAGACGAUGACAAUCCCGAAGAUAAAAUGGUGCAGACCGAUAUAAGUGACGAGGAUCUUGAAAAGGUGUUGGAUCGAAGUGAUUUGAUUGCUUCUGGACCCGCAAAGGCGGAUGGGAAACCGAACUACGUGGCAAGUACACUUCCGCUUAAAGGCCCUGGUUGGGAGGUGGUGAUACCGACUGCCACUGGAGGGAUGCUUUCAACUGUCAACAACUAACCAGUUGUUUCCUGUUUCACCCUUUUGGUUUAGGUUUAUUUGCUUUACAUGGUCCACAUUUUUGGGAAAACUUUGGAAUGGUGUUUGUUUUGUGUAGUGAGAGAUGUGAUUUUGGGGUCCAUGUAAUUGAAACUAAGGGAAUUGGCUGAAAGAAUGUUAUGAUCUCUUCUUUCAUCUAGGGAGAAUGAAGUGACACCUAGUAUCUAGUAUUUACUUUUGGAUGGAA